CACCCCAUACCUCCUACCUCUAUACCCCCACGUGGUCCCCACCACUAAUAGAUAUACAUACAAAAAGGGACUGGAAUACAAUUACACACCAUAACCAUAAGCAUACACCACAUUCUGAUACACGUUUCAUCAACACACGGACGCCAAAUACAGAGAGAUCUGAAGAAACACAGGAUUCUUUAUUUCCAUUAUUUUUUCUUCCUUUCUUGGCGUACACACGACACACACAAAUCCUUACUCUCUCAACACACAUAUGGACACACACAUGCAUAGAUUGGAGAUGGGGGAGCUGGACGGAGAUAAAACCAGAUAGAGGGAAAGGUUUGAGCGUGAGAGAGGGAAUCAAAAAGAUCGAUAGGUUUGAGAGAGACAGAGAGCUUAGCGAUUGAGAGAGAACGGCGAGAAGAGGUCUGUUCUAGCGACCAGCUCUUAUCAGAGCUCUGAAAAAUAGCCAAAAUCGAUGACUAACACUGUUGAAACAACAAAAAUCGGUGACCGAACCUGAUCUGUUUCUGCCUGAUUUCGACGAGAUCUGCCGAAAAAUGAGAAAAAAGGGAAUGCCCCGAGGUUUCGUGUAUUUAUUCACCGGGGAAUGCCCCGACGUAUUAUGUCUUCGAAGGAGGCUCGUGAUCAAGGCCCAAGGCAUUGGGUAAAGCAUUGGAGUGUAGUUUAGGAUUAUUUUAGAAUAACGUAGGUUUAUAUUUUUUUGUAUUUUCUUUUUGGACUGGACAUUAUAUUUUGGAUUGUUUUGUCAUGUUUGUGUGAUUGAUUAUUUUUA